UGGCAUGAUGAUGGAAAAUUUCUUCACUUUGACCUGACUUGUCUGCUUGAAGAAAUUGAAACCUCUGACA
ensembl:snoRNA